UUAUAAUUAGUUAAGUCGUUGUAAUGAAUGGUUCAUGACUGUAUAUCUCCAUACACUUUCAACAUAGUUCUUCCUUAACUAAUAGGUAAUCGGUUCAUCUAUUAUGAU
rnacentral:tRNA from 1 species